AACGAACGCUGGCGGCAGGCUUAACACAUGCAAGUCGAACGGACGUAGCAAUACGUUAGUGGCAGACGGGUGAGUAACGCGUGGGAAUGUGCCCUUUAGUUCGGAAUAACACAGAGAAAUUUGUGCUAAUACCGGAUAAGCCCGAGAGGGGAAAGAUUUAUCGCUGAAGGAGCAGCCCGCGUCUGAUUAGCUAGUUGGUGAGGUAAUGGCUCACCAAGGCGACGAUCAGUAGCUGGUCUGAGAGGAUGAUCAGCUACACUGGGACUGAGACACGGGCCCGACUCCCACGGGAAGCAGCCGUUGGGAAUAUUGGACAAUGGGGGCAACCCUGAUCCAGCCAUGCCGCGUGAGUGAUGAAGGCCUUAGGGUUGUAAAACUCUUUUGUCCGGGAAGAUAAUGACUGUACCGGAAGAAUAAGCCCCGGCUAACUUCGUGCCAGCCGCCGCCGUAA
rnacentral:rRNA from 1 species